rnacentral:RNase_P_RNA from 1 species
CCAGCUGGCCGGGCGGCCGCACCCGCAAUUGCCGAAAGGCCGCGGGUGAGGAAAGUCCGGGCUCCAUGGAUACACGGUGCCGGUUAAUGGCCGGCGGGGGCGACCCCAGGGAAAGUGCCACAGAAAGCAAACCGCCGCGGUUUUCCGCGGUAAGGAUGAAAGGGUGGGGUAAGAGCCCACCGCGCGACUGGCAACAGGAGCGGCACGGCAAACCCCACCGGGAGCAAAACCGAAUAGGGGCGGUACGAGGGGCGACCCUCAGGGCUGUUUCCGGCUCACCGCCCGGGUAGGUUGCGUGAGGCGCAUGGCAACAUGCGUCCAAGAAGAAUGGUCGCCACGUUCCCGUGCCGCAAGGCGCGGGGGCCAUACAGAACCCGGCUUACAGGCCAGCUGGCGCU